AGUGAACGCUGGCGGUAGGCCUAACACAUGCAAGUCGAACGGCAGCACAGGAGAGCUUGCUCUCUGGGUGGCGAGUGGCGGACGGGUGAGGAAUACAUCGGAAUCUACUCUGUCGUGGGGGAUAACGUAGGGAAACUUACGCUAAUACCGCAUACGACCUACGGGUGAAAGCAGGGGAUCUUCGGACCUUGCGCGAUUGAAUGAGCCGAUGUCGGAUUAGCUAGUUGGCGGGGUAAAGGCCCACCAAGGCGACGAUCCGUAGCCGGUCUGAGAGGAUGAUCAGCCACACUGGAACUGAGACACGGUCCAGACUCCUACGGGAGGCAGCAGUGGGGAAUAUUGGACAAUGGGCGCAAGCCUGAUCCAGCCAUACCGCGUGGGUGAAGAAGGCCUUCGGGUUGUAAGGCCCUUUUGUUGGGAAAGAAAUCCAACUGGCUAAUACCCGGUUGGGAUGACGGUACCCAAAGAAUAAGCACCGGCUAACUUCGUGCCAGCCGCCGCCGUAA
rnacentral:rRNA from 1 species